rfam:Deer tick virus strain ctb30 polyprotein gene, complete cds
AGGGGGUGAUGUGGCAGCGCACCACGACAUCGUGACGGGAAGAGGUCGUCCCCCACGCAUCAUCUCUCUAGGGCAUUUUCGUGAGACC